GAAUCCUUGGUAGCGUAGCUAACGCGUGAAGUUGACCGCCUGGGGAGUACGGCCGCAAGGUUAAAACUCAAAGGAAUUGACGGGGACCCGCACAAGCGGUGGAUGAUGUGGAUUAAUUCGAUGCAACGCGAAAAACCUUACCUGCUCUUGACAUGUACGGAACUUGCCAGAGAUGGCUUGGUGCCCGAAAGGGAGCCGUAACACAGGUGCUGCAUGGCUGUCGUCAGCUCGUGUCGUGAGAUGUUGGGUUAAGUCCCGCAACGAGCGCAACCCUUGUCAUUAGUUGCCAUCAU
rnacentral:rRNA from 1 species